rnacentral:lncRNA from 1 species
AGAACAACAAAGGACUUAGAAUAUCCCAUAAACUUAGUUGAUAAAAGAGUGGCAGGGUUUGAGAGAAUUGGUUCCAAUUUUGAUAUAAAUUCUACUGUAGGUAAAAUGCUACCAAACUGCGUAGCAUGCUACAGUGAAAUCUUUUGUGAAAGGAAGAGUCAGUCAAUGUGGUAAACUUCAUUGUCAUCUUAUUUUAAGAAAUUGCCACUCCCUCUCCAGCCCUCAGCAACCACCACCUCGAUCAGUCACUAGCUAUCAACAUUGAGACAAGACCAUCCAGCAGCAAAAUGAUGAUGACUUACUGAAGGCCCAGAUGAUGGUUAGCAUUUUUUGGCAAUCACGUAUUUUCAAAGUCCAGUGUCUGAUUCUUUUGGGAAGCUGGAUAUGAAGUCAGAAUCUUUCUUUGAGUCAUACAUUUUCAUGAUUAUGAUUAUUAUUGAAUGAUAGCUGGCAAUUAUUGAGAGCAAUUAUUGAGGACAAUUAUUGAGCUUUCACAAGCCCUUUUCAAAGGUCUUUACAUAUAUUUUCUCCACUUCUAACUGUUAGAUAUUCUUAUUAUUCCCAUUUUGUAGAUGAGGGAUACACAGGCAUAAAGCCUAUGUGGAGGCAGAGAGCAGCUACGUAACCUGACUAUGGCCCAACAGCAAACAAAUGAUGGGGCCACAUGCAAAUCCAGGCAGAACCCUUCUAUUAUAUGAAGCUCAAUGUUUUCUUGUUUGCAGCUUGUUAUGAAUACCUCUAUUUGCAAAUGGGUUUUGAAGCUACUUUAAAACAUUUUGUGGCUGUGCGUGGUGGCUGGCACCUGUAAUCCCAGCAUUAUGGGAAACCAAGGUGGGCAGAUUGCCUGAGCUCAGGAGUUUGAGACCAACCUGGCCAACAUGGUGAAACCCUGUGCCUACUAAAAAUACAAAAAAAUUAGCCAGGUGUGUUGGUGUGCACCUGUAAUCCCAGCUACUCUGGAGGGUGAGGCAGGAGAAUCACUUGAACCCAGGAGAGGAAGGUUGCAGUAAGCUGAGAUCAUGCCACUGAACUCCAGCCUGGGCAACAGAGUGAGAUUCUGUCUCCAAAUAAAAAAUAAAUAAGAUUGAAUUUUGAGCUCCUGACCAUGUCCCUAGAUUGUGCUCAUAUGUAUUUUGAUGUCUAAUAAGAUUUAUUCUCAGUGCAUUUUUUAAGUGAAAGUAUUUAUUGAGCAUCUACUGUAUAUCAUGUGCUGAGAUAGGCACCAGUGGUGCAGGGAACAUAUGGCACAGUCUCUGACCUCAGGUAACUUUCACUCUCAUACAUAUGUAUUAGGACACCAACACAUGUGUGAAUAUAAGAUAGUAUGAUAGAUAUUGCAACAAGUAAUUAUUUACUGUAAACCUAUUUUAUAGGAUUUUAAACUUAAACUACUUUCACCCUAUUUCCAAAAAAAAGUAUUGCAUAACUUUAAAUAGAUUCUCAGUUUGAAAUCAUCAUACAAACUGCAGUAGCAUCUGCUGGUGAAAUACUGCUUUGUAUCUAUUAGAAUAGUCCAAACAAUUGGGAGACAACUGCAUUAUUAGAGCUGUAAAAGUUAUUGUCUAGAAAUCUCAGAGAAGAAGAGGAAGUUCUAUGGUAGAUGAAUAAGAUGACAUCUAAACUGUUCUCUUCAGCUACUGAAGUUCUGUGGAUAUCUCACAGCACAAAGUUCAAGUGUAUGCCCACAGCUCCUCAUGCCACAAGAUGUGACACCUUUCCAAUCUCUUUUUGCAAAAGUUUCCAAUUAUGUCUCUUUUAAGAGUACUUUUUAUACCCACAUAUUCCGGAUUUUGUGGUGCACGCAAAGACAAGAUGGGAAGGGGCUUCCAUUUAUUGAUGCCAGCUGCUCCAUGGACCAGGCCCUGCCCAUGCAUCCAUGUUGGUUCUUUUAUCCCCACAUCAGCCAUAGCCCAUAAGCAUUAACUGCCAUUGCACAGAUGAGGAAAUUGAAAGUCUAAGAGAAUAUGCAAUCUACCCAGAGUCAUGCAGCUUGUGUAUGUAAGGUUUGGAAUGAAAAUCCAAUCUGUGUGAGUCUCAAGUCCCCUUCCACCAUAUGGUUUCCAUUUCAUUUUGCAAUCAGAUUGGCUGGGAUAUGUCUGCCCUAAAAGAUAGUAAGUAGGAAUAUUUGUCUCUAUACCUUAACCUGACAUCCAUGGGCUUGCUUUUUGUAUUUGGAGGUGUCAUAACAUUAUAAUAAUAAUUUGAUUUUAUUUGUACAGUGGAUAUUAUACUACUCAGUCUAGAGAUUUAUGACAUCCCAGUCUAAACUGGAUGAUAGCAAUGAAGCUUCUUCAAGGAGACAAGUAUGAGUAAUAAGGUAGUAAUAAGCUGAAUUUCUAUGGAGUUGCUACUUCUGAAUUAAAACUAGUUGAGAUUAAGUAGAUAUUCAAAAAUAUUGCUAUAAUCUUCACUUGAAUAAUACAAACAUUUAUUAUUUUUACAUAUUUAUUUAUUUAUGGAACAUAAUUUUAAAACAGAAUAUUUUCAAAUUGUAUUAAAAUAUAUUAAAAACAUAAUACAUUAUCACCCAAUAGAGUUUUUCAAAGUAACUCAGUGUUAGUUUAAAAUGUGAAAUUCAAUCAACAUAAUUCACCAUAGAAUACAGUGUGUAUGUCAGUAUAAUAUAUAUAUCAAAAUUGGAAAGCAGUAAAUUUAUCUUUGUUUUGUAAUAAGAUGAAAUUAAAAUUUUAAUGAAUUUCAACUUUCAUUUUAGAUUUCGGAGGGUACCUUUGCAGGUUUAUUACAUGGGUGUAUUGUGUGAUGCUGAGAUUUGGGGUAUGAAUGAAAGUGUGAGUGCCUGUUUUGAACUUGCACCGAGAGCAAUCUCCCCUGAUCAGCAGAGGGUAAACUAACUUGAAUUACACUUGAAUUUUUUAGUAGAGCAGGUCACAAAGGGCAAAUUGUAGUCCAGAGACAAAAGUGCUCAGUGGUCUAAAAUGAGCCUGCCAUAUCACUGAGGGUACAGGUCUUCACAGAAAUAUAUUUCAGAAAGACGUCAAACCUUUGUUUAAAGAUAAAUGUAAGCUGGGUGUGGAGGCACACGUCUAUAAUUCCAGCUACUCAGGAGGCUGAGGCAGGAGGAUCCCUUGAGUUCAGGAGUUUAAGACCAGCCUGGACAACAUAGGAAGAUCCCAUCUCAAUUUUUUAAAAUGAGAAAAAAAUAGAUAAACUUAAACAUAUUAAAAUUUUAAAGAGUUUAUUUAAGCAAACAGAGAUUCAUGGAUCAGGCAGCUCCAAACUGAAAGUGGUUGGAGGAUCUACUGGAGGUGUUUGUAAGGAAGGCUUUUACAGGGUGAAUAUAGAAGUAAAGUAGAGAAAUUAUUUGAUUGGCAAAAAUGUGGGCAGUUGCAUUAUUUGAACUAUCCUGGUGGUAGGUCUCUCAUUACCCAGCUAAUACUCGGCAGGCCACCUGUGGGUGGGCUAAGCUUGUUUCAUUUUGUCUAUGCAGGAACCCUGGCCAUGGGAGCUAUCUCAGCCUAAUGCUCUCCCAUUAUGAAAUUUUACACCUUCUUUCUGUAUCAGGGUAAGUGGGGAUCUUCCCCAGGAGGGUUCUUACCACCCUGUUUCCCUCAGCAAAAUGAAACUGUCCCUUUUGCCUCUGUAGGCAAUCUUCUGAACAAGGCAUUCCUAAUAUUCUUAUCUCAUCUUAUUUUAUCUUAUCCUCUUCUCUGUACCUUGUUUACAUGCUUCUGGAACACUUGUGUGUCUUGCACCCAUCUCCUGCAUUAUUUAGGCAAUCCUAACAGAAGGCCGCUAGGAUGGAUUGGAAGAGAACUGCUGGCAUAUUGAGCCCUCUCUCUUUGUAUCUGGAACUUUCAUAAUUACCUUAGUUCUCCAUGCCAAUUUUGCACUUAUCUUUGUUCUCCACUUCAAAAUACAUUUACCUCUGACAGCAGCUGAGUUCAUAAAAGGGAACUAGUCCAGUGGUACUUAUGAGGCAGGAGACAUGAUAUAGUUAAAAUUAUAAACUAUAAUCACUAUAUAGUUAUAUAUUAUAUAUAAUCACUAUAUCACUCCAGGGUUGAAGUGAUACUCCUGCCUCAGCCUCCUGAGUAGCUGGGAUUACAGGCAUGUGCCACCACACUCGAAUAAUCGUAUAUGUUUUAAAAUAGGAAUAGAUUUUCUCAGCUAAACGGAAGGGAAAUGCUAAGGAAAGAGUGAGAUUUGACUUGAUAAUUAUGUUUCUGAAUGAAUCAGCCAAUUAAUAAAAUGAAAACAGGCCAGGACAGUGGUGCAUGCCAGUCAUCCCAGCAAUUUGGGAGGCCAAGGUGGACAGAUCACUUGAGUCCAAGAGUUUGAGACAAGCCUGAGCAACAUAUCAAAACCCCGUCUCUACAAAAAAUACAAAAAUUAGCCAGGUGUGGUGGCUCAUGCCUGUAGUCCCUGCUACUUGGGAGGCUGAGGUAGGAGGAUCACCUGAGCCUGGAGAUGUAGAGGCUGCAAUGAGCUGUGAUCAUGCCACUGCACUUCCAGCCUGGGUGACACAGUGAGACCCUGUCCCAAAGAAACUAAACUAAAA